rnacentral:lncRNA from 1 species
CUUUGAUAGCUUGUGUGUUCUCCUCUGCAAUACCUGUUUGCCAUCCCUGCCUUGGAGCCAGAUGAUUAUGGACUGAAACCUCUACAAACUAUGCUGGACAGCAGCAGUGAAGCUCCCAGGAGCUACAAGAACACAAGGCUGUGAAAGAGAUGGUUAUAAUAUGGAAAAAUGAAUCAAAGUCCUGAAUACAUCAUCUAAGGGAGUGGCAUCACCCCUUCUGCAGCUGUCCACCCCGUUGUUCCCUCACUAUGACUGGGAGGUGAAUAUAAUCUACUUACUUGAGCUUUCUGAAGCAAAGCCUGCUCCCUCAUUGCUGGUGUCAAGAGGUCUGCUGCCCUCUCUUCUCUUCUAAGAAGAUUGUGGGGAGAGAAACUCAAGCCUCAGAAGAUGAGAUCUCCUCCAUAACCUCUUGCUGUCAGAAGAAGAUCACCCACAAUCCUUCAGAGAGAGAAAGAGAGAGAACCAUUGGCUCAAUUGUAAUCAUAUGAUAUUUGGGAUCAUGUAUUAUUUGUAUUAUACAACAUUGCUUGUUUAUCAAGCUAAAAUUUGUUAGAAAUAUUUGCUUGUCUUGUAGAACACUAGCAGAACAAGUUACUUGCAAUCCAAGGUUUUACUCUGUGUGUAUAAAUUAUAAAACAUAAUUGUAAACUGGACACCCAAGAGUCCAUCAUCAAACUUAAACAAUGGAAUGUUACCAAUGUCAUUUGUUCAUUGCUAACCCCCAGCUGUGCUGCACCUUUACCCAGGUUUCCACUAUCCUGAAAGAUGC